CAGAGUGGUAGUUGGUUCGUUAGGGUCGGCAGGCUCUAUGCUCGUGCAUCGAACUGUUGCCCUCCGAUACUCUUUCAUGGACAGCCCAAGGCUUCGUUUGCCUUGUGGCGGAGCUCGGUUCCUGUGUUGCAUACCCAUUAUGGUGGAAUUGUUCCUGUUCGGCUGUGUUUUCCUUCCCCGUCGUCCUUUGGCGAUACGGGAGGACCAUGUGGCGGCGCAGGUGUCCCACGCACAUCGCCUCGGGCGAUUGCGGUGGUGCAUCUGCUGUCGCUCGUGAUUUCGGAUGCGGAGUGUUGUGAUUUGCAAGAGGAGCUCACCGGCCCUCUGUAGACCCAAAGCGAGCAUCCCUCGGUUGCUCGGUAAGCAUGACGACCGCACGCGAGGUGGCUCUCCGGGCUGCCGCACGCUGCGGUGUCACGAAAGAUUGCUACCUGGUUGAUCCUGCCAGUAGUCAUAUGCUUGUCUCAAAGAUUAAGCCAUGCAUGUGUAAGUAUGAACUAAUUCAAACUGUGAAACUGC
rnacentral:misc_RNA from 1 species